rnacentral:rRNA from 1 species
AGCGAACGCUGGCGGCAGGCCUAACACAUGCAAGUCGAGCGGACGUAGCAAUACGUCAGCGGCAGACGGGAGAGUAACACGUGGGAACGCGCCCUUCGGUUCGGGAUAACCCAGGGAAACUUGGGCUAAUACCGGAUACGCCAUUACGGGGAAAGAUUUAUUGCCGAAGGAACGGCCCGCGUCCGAUUAGCUUGUUGGUGAGGUAACGGCUCACCAAGGCGACGAUCGGUAGCUGGUCUGAGAGGAUGACCAGCCUCACUGGGACUGAGACACGGCCCAGACUCCUACGGGAGGCAGCAGUGGGGAAUAUUGGACAAUGGGCGCAAGCCUGAUCCAGCCAUGCCGCGUGGGUGAUGAAGGCCCUAGGGUUGUAAAGCCCUUUCGGCGGGGAAGAUAAUGACGGUACCCGCAGAAGAAGCCCCGGCUAACUUCGUGCCAGCCGCCGCCGUAAUAC